rnacentral:rRNA from 1 species
AGAAUCAACGCUGGCGGCGUGCCUAACACAUGCAAGUCGAACGAGAAAGUGGAGCAAUCCAUGAGUAAAGUGGCGCACGGGUGAGUAACACGUGACUAACCUACCCUAGAGUGGGGGAUAACUGAGGGAAACCUUAGCUAAUACCGCAUAAUACCUACGGGUCAAAGGAGCAAUUCGCUUUAGGAGGGGGUCGCGGCAGAUUAGCUAGUUGGCGGGGUAAUGGCCCACCAAGGCAGUGAUCUGUA